UUCUAAAAAUAAUUCACUUUGGACCAAUAUUUUUCCGUGUUUUAAUCAGAAAAUUUGCUUUCAUUUUAGAUGAAACCAAAAAGAAAGAAAUGGAAAAAGAGAGAGUGUGAAGACCAUUUCCUCUAUUUGAGACACACCUCAGGAGCUACUUAUAGCUCUUGUCGACCAAAACCAAAAUGCCCACAUACCCCAGGAUAACAAUUUACCUGUUGUCAUCCACUUCUCGCUGUUAUCCAAGAUCUGUUUAGAAAAUGGUAAGAUCCCUUUACCCAUCCAAAUUAGGGUCAACUCUGAUGAGCAGCUAGAGUGAGAAUUCA
rnacentral:lncRNA from 1 species